AACGAACGCUGGCGGCAUGCCUAACACAUGCAAGUCGAACGAGACCUUCGGGUCUAGUGGCGCACGGGUGCGUAACGCGUGGGAACCUGCCCUUAGGUUCGGAAUAACUCCCCGAAAGGGGUGCUAAUACCGGAUAAUGUCUUCGGACCAAAGAUUUAUCGCCUUUGGAUGGGCCCGCGUUGGAUUAGCUAGUUGGUAGGGUAAAAGCCUACCAAGGCGACGAUCCAGAGCUGGUCUGAGAGGAUGAUCAGCCACACUGGGACUGAGACACGGCCCAGACUCCUACGGGAGGCAGCAGUGGGGAAUAUUGGACAAUGGGCGAAAGCCUGAUCCAGCAAUGCCGCGUGAGUGAUGAAGGCCUUAGGGUUGUAAAGCUCUUUUACCCGGGAUGAUAAUGACAGUACCGGGAGAAUAAGCUCCGGCUAACUCCGUG
rnacentral:rRNA from 1 species